rnacentral:pre_miRNA from 1 species
AUUUGGCGUCGCCCCCGCGCAGGCGGGGGCCGCCAUCGGCCUAGCGCAACGCCUCCGGUGGCCCCCGCCUUCGCGGGGGCGACGGUUGAU